rnacentral:tRNA from 1 species
GUAGCUCAAUGGUAGAGCACUUGCCUCACAUGCACAAGGCCCUGGGUUCAAUCCCCAGC